rnacentral:lncRNA from 1 species
GCAUUAGGGUUUUUCGUUCUCAUUUUCCAGCAAACCCAAAAUCUGAAUCGAAGAGGUUAAAGUGACGGCGCCGUUGCUGUCGGCCUUGGCUGAACUCUGAAACCAGUCUUGGCCCUCAUUUUGUUGUAACACCCCCCAAAUCUCUUCCUUUCACUUUUUAGGGUUUUGUUAGUUCUUCUGUAAAUUCACAUACAGUUAGUUUGUGGAAUCACAUCUGGAU